AUUGAACGCUGGCGGCGUGCUUAACACAUGCAAGUCGAUCGGUAACGCGGGGGCAACCCUGGCGACGAGAGGCGGACGGGUGAGGAACGCUUGGGAAUCUGCCUAUCAGCGGGGGACAACACGGGGAAACUCGUGCUAAUACCGCAUACGCUCUACGGAGGAAAGCCGGGGACCGCAAGGCCUGGCACUGAUAGAUGAGCCCAAGUCGGAUUAGCUAGUUGGCGGGGUAACGGCCCACCAAGGCGACGAUCCGUAGCUGGUCUGAGAGGACGAUCAGACACACUGGGACUGAGACACGGCCCAGACUCCUACGGGAGGCAGCAGUGGGGAAUAUUGGACAAUGGGGGAAACCCUGAGCCAGCGACGCCGCGUGGGUGAAGAAGGCCUGCGGGUUGUAAAGCCCUUUCGGUAGGGACGAAAGCUCUCGACCUAACACGUCGGGAGGUUGACUUAACCUACAAAAGAAGCACCGGCUAACUCUGUGCCAGCCGCCGCCGUAAAAC
rnacentral:rRNA from 1 species